GGGGUUGUAGCUCAGCUGGUUAGAGCGUCUGCCUGUCACGCAGAAGGUCGCGGGUUCGAGCCCCGUCAAUCCCGCCA
rnacentral:tRNA from 2 species